rnacentral:rRNA from 1 species
UAGAGCUUGAUCAUGGCUCAGAUUGAACGCUGGCGGCAGGCCUAACACAUGCAAGUCGAGCGGUAGAGAGAAGCUUGCUUCUCUUGAGAGCGGCGGACGGGUGAGUAAUACCUAGGAAUCUGCCUGAUAGUGGGGGAUAACGUUCGGAAACGGACGCUAAUACCGCAUACGUCCUACGGGAGAAAGCAGGGGACCUUCGGGCCUUGCGCUAUCAGAUGAGCCUAGGUCGGAUUAGCUAGUUGGUGAGGUAAUGGCUCACCAAGGCUACGAUCCGUAACUGGUCUGAGAGGAUGAUCAGUCACACUGGAACUGAGACACGGUCCAGACUCCUACGGGAGGCAGCAGUGGGGAAUAUUGGACAAUGGGCGAAAGCCUGAUCCAGCCAUGCCGCGUGUGUGAAGAAGGUCUUCGGAUUGUAAAGCACUUUAAGUUGGGAGGAAGGGCAUUAACCUAAUACGUUAGUGUUUGACGUACCG